AACGAACGCUGGCGGCAUGCCUAACACAUGCAAGUCGAACGAGACCUUCGGGUCUAGUGGCGCACGGGUGCGUAACGCGUGGGAACCUGCCCUUAGGUUCGGAAUAACUCCCCGAAAGGGGUGCUAAUACCGGAUAAUGUCUUCGGACCAAAGAUUUAUCGCCUUUGGAUGGGCCCGCGUUGGAUUAGCUAGUUGGUAGGGUAAAAGCCUACCAAGGCGACGAUCCAUAGCUGGUCUGAGAGGAUGAUCAGCCACACUGGGACUGAGACACGGCCCAGACUCCUACGGGAGGCAGCAGGGGGGAAUAUUGGACAAUGGGCGAAAGCCUGAUCCAGCAAUGCCGCGUGGGUGAAGAAGGGCUUAGGGUUGUAAAGCUCUUUUAACCGGGAUGAAAAUGACAGUACCGGGAGGAUAAGCUCCGGCUAACUCCGUG
rnacentral:rRNA from 1 species